GACGAACGCUGGCGGCGCGCCUAACACAUGCAAGUCGAACGGAGCUAUUUCGAUAGAUCCCUUCGGGGUGACAUUGGCUUAGCUUAGUGGCGAACGGGUGAGUAACACGUGAGGAACCUGCCCUUCAGAGGGGGAUAACAGCCGGAAACGGCUGCUAAUACCGCAUAAUGCAUUGGAUUCGCAUGUUUCUGAUGCCAAAGAUUUUAUCGCUGAAAGAUGAGCUCGCGUCUGAUUAGCUGGUUGGUGAGGUAACGGCCCACCAAGGCGACGAUCAGUAGCCGGCCUGAGAGGGUGAACGGCCACAUUGGGACUGAGACACGGCCCAA
rnacentral:rRNA from 1 species